UUAGCUUUCACCCAAUAACCUUUGCAGUUCGAAAGUGGAAGCUUUUUCACAACCACUUUGGAUAGGAAUUGGAAGAGCUUCCACUUUCGAUUGCAAAGGUAAUUGAGUAGAGCUGC
rnacentral:pre_miRNA from 1 species